rnacentral:lncRNA from 1 species
GUGAGAAGCAAGACUGAUUGUUGAUUUGCACUUUCUGUUUAGUUUAUUUGACAUCAGAAGAUCUGGUGAUUUAGAAGCACGUGCUGGAAAUAACUGCAGUAUAAGAAACCCUGCAAUCUCCUGCUUCCUGACUGUGGAUGGAACAUGACUACCUGCUUUAAGCUCCUGUCGCCUUUACUUUCUUACAUGUGUGGUGGUUGGAGUAAGACCCCAAGGGCUCAGAGAUUUGAAUGCUUAGUCAUCAGGCAGGAACACUUCUUUAAAAGGAUUAAGCACUGUGGCAUCAUUGGAGUAAGUGUAUCACUGGGGUUGUAUUUAAGGUUUCAAAAGCUCAGACCCAGUGUCUCCCUCUUCUUACUGACUACGGAUCAAAAUGUAAAAUUCUCAGCUACUUCUCGAGCAUCAUGUUCCCUAGCAUGCUCCCUACAAUAAUGAUAAUGUACAAAACUUCUGAAACUGUAAACAAGCCCAAUAAAUGUUUUAUAAGAGUU